rnacentral:rRNA from 1 species
GACGAACGCUGGCGGCGUGCCUAACACAUGCAAGUUGAGCGACGAACCAGGGCUUGCCCUGGGGCAAAGCAGCGAACGGGUGAGUAACACGUGGGUAACCUGCCCCGAUGACCGGGACAACCCGAGGAAACUCGAGCUAAUACCGGAUGUGGCCACUGGACUCAAGUCCGGUUGUCAAAGGAAGCUUCGGCCUCCGCAUUGGGAGGGGCCCGUGGCCCAUUAGCUAGUUGGUGAGGUAAGAGCUCACCAAGGCAACGAUGGGUAGCUGGUCUGAGAGGACGAUCAGCCACACUGGGACUGAGACACGGCCCAGACUCC